ensembl:lncRNA
UUUGGCAUUUAUUGUUGAAACUAUUAACGAGUUACUUCUACUUUAUUAUUUCAAAAAGUCUCAUUUUUUUUUCUUUUUAGUAUGCCACACGUGGUUGACAAACGUGAAUACUUUGAGAGGAUAUCCCAGCAGAACCCACUGUGGUUUGAGGGUUUUCUCGUCAUCUUGCAUUAGAGAAAAUGAUGCUGAAUCAUAUAUGCUUAACAAAUCAAAAAGCAACAAACAUAUGCUGGUCUUGACGGUUCUACCACUGGCUGGUUUCAGCAGGCCCUGGGCUGUGCGGGUUCGGGCUCCUCCCAAGAGAGAUGAAGAGAUGGACAGACAGUAACAGAAGGUCCUCGAAGCUGAUGUGUGAUGAAGCCUUUCACAUUUUUUGGUAUAGUAAUCUACACACAAGACUUGUUCAGUGCUUUUGUGAUUUUAACCAUAAAGAGGAAGAGAAAAACAAGAAGGGCAUGGUAUACAGUGACACACCGUUUGCGGCAGGAGCGAGGGGAACUGAUGUGAACAACUAAAUGAAUUUGUGUUCAUGAAGUUGUUCAGACAAGGAGCUGAUGGAGCAGGAACCAUAUCCUCCUCCAUCAUGCCUUUUUUCCAAAAGUUUUGGUGAUAGGUGUAGAGAAGAAUCUAGGCCAAGCAGAAAUACAGGUCUGAAGCAAUGGCCUACCAUCUAAUACCGGAAAUGAAGGGAAGUGCUAUCUGUACUUUUGUAAGGGAUGUCGAUGAGAUCUAAGCCAUGAUUAAGGCUGCAUCUAUCACAAAUUGUUGGUUCACAGAAUUUUUACUUUUUAGCUAGUUAUUAGAGAAUUCUCUCUCAACUCAUUUGUUCCUUUACCGAUCUCAACUCUAAGAGUAACAUUACUGUGCUUGGGUUAUAAAUGUUUUAUGAAAAUUAACUUUUACAAAAUAUUCAGAAAAUUACUUUAAAAGUUUCAGAAAUGACUUUUUUAACCCUAACUUUCAUUUUAUAUAGAGAAAAACUUGAACUUGCUUAUGUAUUGAUACAGUGAUACUAUGCACCAUGUUUGUCUAACCUUUAGUUCAUUGACUUCUUUUGCAGACCUGCCAAGGUUUUGAGAAAAUAAAUGCUAUCAUCACAGGAUGGCCAGAUGACAGACCUAUACAAAUUCUUCCCUUUAUAGUAUCAAGUCCUUUUAUCAAAAUCAUCUUCAUGAUUUGAAACUGAACAUCGCCCCAGGGAAAUAGCUUCAGGGACGUGCUUACAAUGAAUAUUCUUGAACAUUUUAUUCUAAUGUUUAAGAAAGAACAGUAACAAAGAAGGCAAAAUAUCAGCAAGUUAUAACAUUUUGAGUUUUUCAUCUUCAAAUAAAUGAACCAAGGAGGACUAAAAGGCAAGUGGCAAAUGACGAUGCCAAGAGACUCUCCUAAGAAGUUUAUGAGACACAAAAUCUCUCAGCUUUACUUUGUUAAAUACACAAACACUGGAUUACUGUGAAGAAAAAAAUGUGCUAUGAGAAAUUACAGUUAGCCUUACCAAAUGGCGAAAUAUUUACACAAAUCAUAUCCUCAUUUUGUGUGUGUUUUUUGUAAGAUGAUGGUUCUUUUGCCAAUAUUUUUUCUCAACAUUUAAGAUUAAGAAACACUUGGAUUUACUAAUGAAUAUUUGUCUACAUAGACAUGAAAAAUGAUUAAAAUAGUAGAAAACUUAUAUCAGAAAACUUAUAUUUUCUAUCAUGUAAAAUUAAACUACUUGUCCUUGAAGUACCAAAAUGCAAGGUUAUACAGAUGAACACAUUACCAAGUAUCUGCUGACUUUGAGUGACUCUAUAAUUUAGAUAAGUAUUAAUUGAAAUAUAUUCUAGAUUAUAUAUUUUGUAUAUAUAUGUUUAAAUAAUGGCACACCAAAAUGAAUAUCAAGUAUUCUUAAGGCAGAAGUCAACAAACAUUUUCAGAAUAUUUCUAUUAUA